CCUACGGGUGGCAGCAGUGGGGAAUAUUGGACAAUGGGGGCAACCCUGAUCCAGCCAUGCCGCGUGUGUGAAGAAGGCCCUCGGGUUGUAAAGCACUUUCAGUGAGGAAGAACGCCUGGUGGUUAAUACCCAUCAGGAAAGACAUCACUCACAGAAGAAGCACCGGCUAACUCCGUGCCAGCAGCCGCGGUAAUACGGAGGGUGCGAGCGUUAAUCGGAAUUACUGGGCGUAAAGCGCGCGUAGGUGGCUUGAUAAGCCGGUUGUGAAAGCCCCGGGCCCAACCUGGGAACGGCAUCCGGAACUGUCAAGCUAGAGUGCAGGAGAGGAAGGUAGAAUUCCCGGUGUAGCGGUGAAAUGCGUAGAGAUCGGGAGGAAUACCAGUGGCGAAGGCGGCCUUCUGGACUGACACUGACACUGAGGUGCGAAAGCGUGGGUAGCAAACAGGAUUAGAUACCCGUGUAGUC
rnacentral:rRNA from 1 species